CCCCGCCGCCGCCCCCGCCUUCUCCUUCACCUCCCUCUCCACCACCACCACCACCUCCACCCCCUUCUCCACCUCCACCAUCUCCUUCUCCGCCCCCACCGUCUCCUCCGCCACCUUCUCCGCCUCCCCCAUCACCUCCACCGCCGUCCCCUUCACCCCCACCACCACCGCCUCCAUCUCCUCCGCCGCCUUCACCACCACCUCCAUCUCCUCCUCCACCCUCACCAUCACCACCACCUCCAUCUCCCCCUCCACCCUCACCAUCACCACCACCUCCAUCUCCCCCUCCACCCUCACCAUCACCACCACCUCCAUCUCCCCCUCCACCCUCACCAUCACCACCCCCACCACCUUCACCGUCUCCGCCACCACCAUACUGUGUCCAUCCCCCGCCGCCACCUCCACCAC
rnacentral:lncRNA from 1 species